UACGGAGGAUCCGAGCGUUAUCCGGAUUUAUUGGGUUUAAAGGGUGCGCAGGCGGGAGAUUAAGUCGGCGGUGAAAUUUUACAGCUCAACUGUAAAAGUGCCUUCGAUACUGGUUUCCUUGAGUGUGGAUGAAGUAGGCGGAAUUUGUGGUGUAGCGGUGAAAUGCUUAGAUAUCACGAGGAACUCCGAUUGCGCAGGCAGCUUACUAAACCACUACUGACGCUCAGGCACGAAGGCGUGGGGAUCAAACAGGAUUAGAUACCCGCGUAGU
rnacentral:rRNA from 1 species